rnacentral:rRNA from 1 species
AUUAACAAUAAGUUGUCGAAUGAACUAUCACGAAAAGGUCUGAGCUAAACAUGCAUGAACACAUUGCACACGUAGCAUAGUAUGCGUUAAAUGCGUGUUUAGGAGUGAUAGGCUUUUCAAAUAUCUUAAUAACUUGUUUCAUAAAAAAAGUAUUAAGUACAUAAACAAAUUUACAAAGUUAAGCUUUUAAAUGGUUAUAAAAAAUAUUAUUUUAUAAUAGCGCAGUGUAAAAGCUGGCUAUAAGAAAAACUUAGCAUUAAGUAUAAUAAUUUAUAUUUACUAUUAUGACAAUAAAAUUCUGUUACCAUUUGAUAAUGUUAUUAUAAGUAGUAUUAAUAUAUGUGUUAAAGGAACUCGGCAAAGAACUACUCAACUGUUUAUCAAAAACAUAGCUGUGUGUAUUAAUACACAGUAAUUUCUGCUCCAUGCUUAGUAAAUAGCCGCAGUACUCUGACUGUGCAAAGGUAGCAUAAUCAGUUGGCUUUUAAUUAAAGUCUGGUAUGAAUGAAAAUAUGGGUAGUAACUGUCUUAGCAUACUUAUUUGAAAUUACUGAGCAAGUGCAAAUACCUGCAACUAAAAUAAUAGACGAGAAGACCCUAGAAACUUGAGCUAGUUUUUGUUGGGGCGACAAAAUUACAGUUAACUAAUUUUAUAAUACAUGACGCAAAGUAGAAAGAAUAAGUUACUCUAGGGAUAACAGCAUAAUUUUUAAGUUUGUGACCUCGAUGUUGGACUAGGUACUGCACCCUUAAGACAGGGGUGUAUUAUGCUCUGUUCGAGCAGAUUUACCUACAUGAUCUGAGUUCAGACCGG